UGGGGGCCUCUUAGAGGUAUAGCAAGAGGAUUUAAAGGGGCCUUACAGAUUUAUAGAGGCCUAAUAAUUCUACAACAGUCCCCCCUAAAAUGUUAUUUGCUAAAAGACAAAACUUUAUUUGUUAGUAUCAGAAGAAGUAUUAGCCCAAAGACACAGAAACCCCAUGACCGCUGACUUAGUGUUAAUGCAAAGUGCAAGUCUAUCCCUCUCUUGACCCUAACAGGCUACAGCACAUCCGUCAGUACGGUUCAGGAACACUCUUCACUCCGCUGGUAACCCAUAGUGGCUUAUCCACUACUUCUCCGUACGGCAGUCUACCCAUAAAGACGGACGCUGUCCCUGUACUGUCCCUUCCUAGACUUUCUGCACUUCAUCAGUAUAAGGGAGAGUUUGUAGCGGAAUACAGGGUGAGAUGAGGUCUUGAUCAUCGAUUGUCAGAUGAGUGAAGGUUGGUGUUGCUUGGUCUACAGUUUUCUGCAGGAAUUUCCUUAGGCAUGGGAGGACACAACAAAUGAGAAGAGCGAGAAUAAAA
rnacentral:lncRNA from 1 species